AUUGAACGCUGGCGGAAUGCUUUACACAUGCAAGUCGAACGGCAGCACGGGGGCAACCCUGGUGGCGAGUGGCGAACGGGUGAGUAAUACAUCGGAACGUGCCCAGUCGUGGGGGAUAACGUAGCGAAAGUUACGCUAAUACCGCAUACGAUCUAAGGAUGAAAGCGGGGGAUCGCAAGACCUCGCGCGAUUGGAGCGGCCGAUAUCAGAUUAGGUAGUUGGUGGGGUAAAGGCUCACCAAGCCAACGAUCUGUAGCUGGUCUGAGAGGACGACCAGCCACACUGGAACUGAGACACGGUCCAGACUCCUACGGGAGGCAGCAGUGGGGAAUUUUGGACAAUGGACGCAAGUCUGAUCCAGCCAUUCCGCGUGCAGGAUGAAGGCCCUCGGGUUGUAAACUGCUUUUGUACGGAACGAAAAGGUCUCUCUUAAUACGGGGGACUCAUGACGGUACCGUAAGAAUAAGCACCGGCUAACUACGUGCCAGCCGCCGCAGUAA
rnacentral:rRNA from 1 species